UACGUAGGUGGCAAGCGUUGUCCGGAUUUAUUGGGCGUAAAGCGAGUGCAGGCGGUUCAAUAAGUCUGAUGUGAAAUGCUUCGGCUCAACCGGAGAAUUGCAUCAGAAACUGUUGAACUUGAGUGCAGAAGAGGAGAGUGGAACUCCAUGUGUAGCGGUGGAAUGCGUAGAUAUAUGGAAGAACACCAGUGGCGAAGGCGGCUCUCUGGUCUGCAACUGACGCUGAGGCUCGAAAGCAUGGGUAGCGAACAGG
rnacentral:rRNA from 1 species